AUUGAACGCUGGCGGCAGGCCUAACACAUGCAAGUCGAACGAGUGGCGGACGGGUGAGCAAUGUCUGGGAAACUGCCUGAUGGAGGGGGAUAACUACUGGAAACGGUAGCUAAUACCGCAUACCAUCGGAUGUGCCCAGAUGGGGUGAGCUAGUAGGUGGGGUAAAGGCGCACCUAGGCGACGAUCCCUAGCUGGUCGGAGAGGAUGACCGGCCAAGCUGGAACGGUGGCACGAUCCAGACUCCUACGAGGGGCAGCAGAGGGAAGUAUUUCACAAUGGGCGCAAGCCUGAGGCGGGCAUGCCGCGUGUAUGAAUAAGGCCUUCGGUUUGGAAAGUACUUUCAGCGGGGAGGCGUUACCCGAAGAAGAAGCACCGGCGAACUCCGUGUCAGCAGCCGCGGUAAUUC
rnacentral:rRNA from 1 species